rnacentral:rRNA from 1 species
CGGGACUUAGUGCCGACGCUAACGCAUUAAGCACUCCGCCUGGGGAGUACGACCGCAAGGUUGAAACUCAAAGGAAUUGACGGGGGCCCGCACAAGCGGUGGAGCAUGUGGUUUAAUUCGAAGCAACGCGAAGAACCUUACCAGGUCUUGACAUCCCGAUGCCCGCUCUAGAGAUAGAGUUUUUCUUCGGAACAUCGGAGACAGGUGGUGCAUGGUUGUCGUCAGCUCGUGUCGUGAGAUGUUGGGUUAAGUCCCGCAACGAGCGCAACCCUUAUUGUUAGUUGCCAUCAUUAAGUUGGGCACUCUAGCGAGACUGCCGGUAAUAAACCGGAGGAAGGUGGGGAUGACGUCAAAUCAUCAUGCCCCUUAUGACCUGGGCUACACACGUGCUACAAUGGUUGGUACAACGAGUCGCAAGCCGGUGACGGCAAGCUAAUCUCUGAAAGCCAAUCUCAGUUCGGAUUGUAGGCUGCAACUCGCCUACAUGAAGUCGGAAUCGCUAGUAAUCGCGGAUCAGCACGCCGCGGUGAAUACGUUCCCGGGCCUUGUACACACCGCCCGUCACACCACGAGAGUUUGUAACACCCAAAGUCGGUGAGGUAACCAUUUAUGGGGCCAGCCGCCUAAGGUGGGANG